rnacentral:rRNA from 1 species
UACGGAGGAUGCAAGCGUUAUCCGGAAUUAUUGGGCGUAAAGCGUCCGUAGGUGGCUAUUCAAGUCUGCCGUUAAAACCAGUGGCUUAACUACUGAGGGGCGGUGGAAACUGAAGAGCUAGAGUGUGGUAGGGGUAGAGGGAAUUCCCAGUGUAGCGGUGAAAUGCGUAGAGAUUGGGAAGAACACCGGUGGCGAAAGCGCUCUGCUGGACCACAACUGACACUCACAGGACGAAAGCUAGGGGA